AUCUUCCUAGUAUAGUUAUAGUACAUGUGACUUCCAAUCACCUGGUUUUGGUUAAACCCCAAAGAAAGAUA
rnacentral:tRNA from 1 species